ACAGCAGCCGCCACGGGAAUACGGAGGGUGCAAGCGUUAAUCGGAAUUACUGGGCGUAAAGCGCACGCAGGCGGUCUGACAAGUCAGAUGUGAAAUCCCCGGGCUUAACCUGGGAACUGCAUUUAAAACUGUCAGGCUGGAGUCUUGUAGAGGGGGGUGGAAUUCCAGGUGUAGCGGUGAAAUGCGUAGAGAUCUGGAGGAAUACCGGUGGCGAAGGCGGCCCCCUGGACAAAGACUGACGCUCAGGUGCGAAAGCGUGGGGAGCAAACAGGAUUAGAUACCCGGGUAGUCCCUGUCUCUUAUAC
rnacentral:rRNA from 1 species